GUCGUCAGCUCGUGUCGUGAGAUGUUGGGUUAAGUCCCGCAACGAGCGCAACCCUCGUCCUUAGUUGCCAUCAUUUAGUUGGGCACUCUAAGGAAACCGCCGGUGAUAAGCCGGAGGAAGGUGGGGAUGACGUCAAGUCCUCAUGGCCCUUACAGGGUGGGCUACACACGUGCUACAAUGGCGACUACAGAGGGUUAAUCCUUAAAAGUCGUCUCAGUUCGGAUUGUCCUCUGCAACUCGAGGGCAUGAAGUUGGAAUCGCUAGUAAUCGCGGAUCAGCAUGCCGCGGUGAAUACGUUCCCGGGA
rnacentral:rRNA from 2 species